GAACGUCAGCAAGCAGUUAACGUGCAUAACCUGAGAGCAUCCGUACCGAAUUCCAGAUGUUGCUUCACCAUCUAAGAAGACUCCAGGGAGCAGUUUGGAGUCCCAGACAGACAGCUCUCAGAGGUUAUAUUCUCCAUUCUUCAAGGCUCACUGCUCACAGCGAGGGAUCUGUUCUCGCCGCCCACCAGUCUGGGACCUUGAAGACCUGUAACGAUGGGUUGCUAGCAUGGCUUUAUCCUCUUAGACCGAGUGAAAGCGGAUAGGAUGCGAGGCACAAAUCUGCUUUAAGAAUAUCA